GCGGGUGUGGCGGAAUUGGCAGACGCACUAGGUUUAGGUCCUAGCGAUUUCGGUCGUGGGGGUUCAAGUCCCUCCACCCGCACCA
rnacentral:tRNA from 1 species